ensembl:snoRNA SNORA70 Small nucleolar RNA SNORA70
CUGCGGUCAAUUAAGCCGACCGCGCCCUUUUCCCCAUGGGGGCCCCGUGUGCAAUGGCUGCAAACAGCAGCCUCCUCGGUAGUGUAUGCAGCCUGUUGCCUCUAUGGGUUGCCCUAAGGGACCUUGGAGACAGCC